rnacentral:tRNA from 1 species
GUCCCCAUAGCUCAACUGGAUAGAGCAGCGGUUUCCUAAACCGCGCAUCCCGGUUCAAGUCCGGGUGGGGGCGCCA